rnacentral:rRNA from 1 species
UGGGAAUUUUGGACAAUGGGCGAAAGCCUGAUCCAGCAAUGCCGCGUGUGUGAAGAAGGCCUUCGGGUUGUAAAGCACUUUUGUCCGGAAAGAAAUCCUUGGCUCUAAUACAGUCGGGGGAUGACGGUACCGGAAGAAUAAGCACCGGCUAACUACGUGCCAGCAGCCGCGGUAAUACGUAGGGUGCAAGCGUUAAUCGGAAUUACUGGGCGUAAAGCGUGCGCAGGCGGUUUGCUAAGACCGAUGUGAAAUCCCCGGGCUCAACCUGGGAACUGCAUUGGUGACUGGCAGGCUAGAGUAUGGCAGAGGGGGGUAGAAUUCCACGUGUAGCAGUGAAAUGCGUAGAGAUGUGGAGGAAUACCGAUGGCGAAGGCAGCCCCCUGGGCCAAUACUGACGCUCAUGCACGAAAGCGUGGGGAGCAAACAGGAUUAGAUACCCU